rnacentral:rRNA from 1 species
CGAGCCUGAUGCAGCCAUGCCGCGUGUAUGAAGAAGGCCUUCGGGUUGUAAAGUACUUUCAGUUGUGAGGAAGGGGGURGUGUUAAUAGCGCUAUCUCUUGACGUUAGCAACAGAAGAAGCACCGGCUAACUCCGUGCCAGCAGCCGCGGUAAUACGGAGGGUGCGAGCGUUAAUCGGAAUUACUGGGCGUAAAGCGCAUGCAGGUGGUUCAUUAAGUCAGAUGUGAAAGCCCGGGGCUCAACCUCGGAACUGCAUUUGAAACUGGUGAACUAGAGUACUGUAGAGGGGGGUAGAAUUUCAGGUGUAGCGGUGAAAUGCGUAGAGAUCUGAAGGAAUACCAGUGGCGAAGGCGGCCCCCUGGACAGAUACUGACACUCAGAUGCGAAAGCGUGGGGAGCAAACAGGAUUAGAUACCCUGGUAGUCCACGCCGUAAACGAUGUCUACUUGGAGGUUGUGGCCUUGAGCCGUGGCUUUCGGAGCUAACGCGUUAAGUAGACCGCCUGGGGAGUACGGUCGCAAGAUUAAAACUCA